GGAUUGAAAUAUAUUUCAAAGAAAAAAAUGAUAUUAAUAAGAGAUUAAUAAGCACAUACUAUCAGGGAGGCACCACACUAGCACUGUGAACACUAAGAAUCUUCCAGAUGCAUUUUUAUAAUGAUACUAUAUCAGGCUACCGAGAUCAACUGCCAAAGCCCAAUCUGCCACAGGAAUCUUCCUAGAAGAAAAGAAUGUUUCAUCGGAGACAGUCAUUCAUCCUAGCCCACACCUCUCCUGCUUCUGAUCUUCCACUGUUAAAAGCAUAACGCACUGGAGGAAGAUUGUGCUAUAUUUCAUGAGUGCUCUGUGCCGCCACCAAGGGACAGUCCCAUCUGUUAUUUGCUCUCAGCUUUGCUUACUGAUAAAACAGGAAGGACAGCUUGCUGAUGGGCUCUUUGAAGCAAAUGGAUUCUCUCUUUCCUGCAAUUAAUGUUUAUAAAUUAUUUCUACAGUAGACAGCAUGUAUGGUACCAUGAUUUCAAAAUUAGUUUCAAUAAAUUAAGGGCCUGCAUUCAUUACAAGAGGAGCUUGAUGACAAUGCAACUCAUGGGGUUUACUGUUGCACUCUACCUUUCGUGAAAAUUGGGGCAUGAAAUCAAACACUCUCAUUAAUUCUGCUGAUUA